CUUCCAGUAGCAUCUUAGAGACCAACUAAGUUUGUUAUUGGUAUGAGCCUUUGUGUGCAUGCACACUUCUUCAGAUACACUUCUCAUGUGUAUGCACACGAAAGCUCAUACCAAUAACAAACUUAGUUGGUCUCUAAGAUGCUACUGGAAG